rnacentral:rRNA from 1 species
AUUGAACGCUAGCGGGAUGCCUUACACAUGCAAGUCGAACGGAGUGGCGAACGGGUGAGUAAUGUAUCGGAACGUGCCCAGUCGCGGGGGAUAACUAAGCGAAAGCGUAGCUAAUACCGCAUACUAUUUGAGCGGCCGAUAGAGGAUUAGCUAGUUGGUGGGGUAACGGCUCACCAAGGCGACGAUCCGUAGCUGGGUUGAGAGGGAGACCAGCCACAGUGGGACGGAGACACGGCCCAGACUCCUACGGGAGGCAGCAGUGGGGAAUGUUGGACAAUGGGGGAAAGCCUGAUGCAGCCAUGCCGCGUGUGCGAUGAAGGCCUUCGGGUUGUAAAGCACUUUUGGCAGGAAAGCGGUACCUUAAGAAUAAGCACCGGCUAACUACGUGCCAGCAGCCGCGGUAAUAC